rnacentral:rRNA from 1 species
GGCAACAGCUCAAAUUUGAAAUCUGGCCCCCUCGGGGCCCGAGUUGUAAUUUGUAGAGGAUGCUUCUAGGCAGCGGCCGGUCUAAGUUCCUUGGAACAGGACGUCACAGAGGGUGAGAAUCCCGUAUGUGACCGGUUGGCACCUUACACGUAGCUCCUUCGAC